GAUGAACGCUGACAGAAUGCUUAACACAUGCAAGUCGAUGGGGAAGUGGUGCUUGCCCCAUGGCAACCAUGGCGGACGGGUGAGUAACGCGUAAGGGACUUACCUGCAGGACUGGGAUAACAGGGGGAAACUCCUGACAAGACCGGAUAAUGUCAUGGAGCUGCAUGGCUUUAUGAUGAAAGGAGACGCCUGCGGAGAGCCUUGCGUCCUAUUAGCUAGUUGGUGAGGUAAUGGCUCACCAAGGCGAAGAUAGGUAGCCGGCCUGAGAGGGUGGACGGCCACAAGGGGACUGAGAUGCGGCCCUUACUCCUACGGGAGGCAGCAGUGGGGAAUAUUGGACAAUGGGGGCAACCCUGAUCCAGCAAUUCUGUGUGCACGAAGAAGGUUUUCGGAUUGUAAAGUGCUUUCAGCAGGGAAGAAGUAAGUGACGGUACCUGCAGAAGAAGCGACGGCUAAAUACGUG
rnacentral:rRNA from 1 species